ensembl:processed_transcript
GUUUGAUUUGGUGUUCAGUGGUGUAGAUGGUGUUUGACAGUCAGCGAACAGUCAUGCGUUUUCAGUCAAAAAUACAGCGUUUACAGCACGAUAUGGAUUACAAUAUUCUGGAGAGAAUGAUUACACGAGAUUCACCAGAGUUCAGGAGCCGCGGUCGCGCUGGAGAGCGUCCGAACAGAGAGCUUCAUCUGCGGCCGUCCUGGAGAACCAGACAGCAGAGAUGCAAAGACGAGGACGGAGGAAGACAGGCGUUCUUUCAUUCUUCCGGAAAAUGGGAAGAGCUAUCCAUAAGCUUUGCUGUAUGGAUGCAGCAGCAACAUCUAUAGUGGACCACACUGACCCAUCUGGUAGCGCUCGUGCUGUCGAAUCGAGAGAUCGGACUAGAAAGAUCUACCUCAAGAAAGAUUGCAGCAAAGUCAUCUUGAGAAUCGUCAAGGGCACCCCAGGGUCCCCGGAUCCGUGUGGGGUCUGUGUUGUCUCCAUUGACGUGGACCAACCUGGGAUCUCCAGUGUGUCUGUUGACCCGGGACCUAAUGGAUUCUACUCGGAUUCUUUUAUUCCGGGUCCACCUGGAGUCCUCCGCUUGUCCCUCGUCCUAUGUCCAUCUGGGGUGUUCAGUGUGUCUCUUAAUGCUCGUCCAUCUCGAGGCUGCAGGGUGUCUGUUGAUCCCGGUUCGUCUGGGUUCUUCAGUGUGUCCUCUUAUCCGGGUGCGUCUCGGGACUUCAGUGUAUCUGGUAACCCGGAUGCCUCUGGAGGCUGCAGGCUGUCUGUGGAUACGGGUCUGUCUGGGGGCUGCGCAGUGUCUGCUGCUCCGGGUCCGUCUGAUUGCGCCAUGUCAGCUGCUCCGGGUCCGUCUGAUUGCGGCAUGUCUGCUGCUCCGGGUCCGUCUGAUUGCAGCAUGGCUGCUGAUCCGGGUCCGUCUGAUUGCGGCAUGUCUGCUUAUCCGGGUCCGUCUG